GGGUUGUGAGGUUAAGCGACUAAGCGUACACGGUGGAUGCCCUGGCAGUCAGAGGCGAUGAAGGACGUGCUAAUCUGCGAUAAGCGUCGGUAAGGUGAUAUGAACCGUUAUAACCGGCGAUUUCCGAAUGGGGAAACCCAGUGUGAUUCGUCACACUAUCAUUAACUGAAUCCAUAGGUUAAUGAGGCGAACCGGGGGAACUGAAACAUCUAAGUACCCCGAGGAAAAGAAAUCAACCGAGAUUCCCCCAGUAGCGGCGAGCGAACGGGGAGCAGCCCAGAGCCUGAAUCAGCGUGUGUGUUAGUGGAAGCGUCUGGAAAGGCGCGCGAUACAGGGUGACAGCCCCGUACACAAAAAUGCACAUGCUGUGAGCUCGAUGAGUAGGGCGGGACACGUGGUAUCCUGUCUGAAUAUGGGGGGACCAUCCUCCAAGGCUAAAUACUCCUGACUGACCGAUAGUGAACCAGUACCGUGAGGGAAAGGCGAAAAGAACCCCGGCGAGGGGAGUGAAAAAGAACCUGAAACCGUGUACGUACAAGCAGUGGGAGCCUCUUUAUGGGGUGACUGCGUACCUUUUGUAUAAUGGGUCAGCGACUUAUAUUCUGUAGCAAGGUUAACC
rnacentral:rRNA from 1 species